UGGGGAAUAUUGCACAAUGGGCGAAAGCCUGAUGCAGCAACGCCGCGUGAGUGAUGAAGGCCUUCGGGUUGUAAAGCUCUGUCUUUUGGGACGAUAAUGACGGUACCAAAGGAGGAAGCCACGGCUAACUACGUGCCAGCAGCCGCGGUAAUACGUAGGUGGCAAGCGUUGUCCGGAUUUACUGGGCGUAAAGGAUGCGUAGGCGGAUUUUUAAGUGAGAUGUGAAAUACCCGGGCUUAACUUGGGUGCUGCAUUUCAAACUGGGAAUCUAGAGUGCGGGAGAGGAGAAAUGGAAUUCCUAGUGUAGCGGUGAAAUGCGUAGAGAUUAGGAAGAACACCAGUGGCGAAGGCGAUUCUCUGGACCGUAGCUGACGCUGAGGCAUGAAAAGCGUGGGUAGCAAAACAGGAUUAGAUACCCUGGUAGUCCACGCCGUAAAACGAUGAGUACUAGGUGUAGGAGGUAUCGACCCCUUCUGUGCCGCAGUUAACACAAUAAGUACUCCGCCUGGGAAGUACGAUCGCAAGAUUAAAAACUCAAAAUG
rnacentral:rRNA from 1 species